rnacentral:rRNA from 2 species
CAUCAUUUAAAGAAAGCGUAAUAGCUCACUGGUCGAGUCGGCCUGCGCGGAAGAUGUAACGGGGCUAAACCAUGCACCGAAGCUGCGGCAGCGACGCUUAUGCGUUGUUGGGUAGGGGAGCGUUCUGUAAGCCUGCGAAGGUGUACUGUGAGGUAUGCUGGAGGUAUCAGAAGUGCGAAUGCUGACAUAAGUAACGAUAAAGCGGGUGAAAAGCCCGCUCGCCGGAAGACCAAGGGUUCCUGUCCAACGUUAAUCGGGGCAGGGUGAGUCGACCCCUAAGGCGAGGCCGAAAGGCGUAGUCGAUGGGAAACAGGUUAAUAUUCCUGUACUUGGUGUUACUGCGAAGGGGGGACGGAGAAGGCUAUGUUGGCCGGGCGACGGUUGUCCCGGUUUAAGCGUGUAGGCUGGUUUUCCAGGCAAAUCCGGAAAAUCAAGGCUGAGGCGUGAUGACGAGGCACUACGGUGCUGAAGCAACAAAUGCCCUGCUUCCAGGAAAAGCCUCUAAGCAUCAGGUAACAUCAAAUCGUACCCCAAACCGACACAGGUGGUCAGGUAGAGAAUACCAAGGCGCUUGAGAGAACUCGGGUGAAGGAACUAGGCAAAAUGGUGCCGUAACUUCGGGAGAAGGCACGCUGAUAUGUAGGUGAAGCGACUUGCUCGUGGAGCUGAAAUCAGUCGAAGAUACCAGCUGGCUGCAACUGUUUAUUAAAAACACAGCACUGUGCAAACACGAAAGUGGACGUAUACGGUGUGACGCCUGCCCGGUGCCGGAAGGUUAAUUGAUGGGGUUAGCGGUAACGCGAAGCUCUUGAUCGAAGCCCCGGUAAACGGCGGCCGUAACUAUAACGGUCCUAAGGUAGCGAAAUUCCUUGUCGGGUAAGUUCCGACCUGCACGAAUGGCGUAAUGAUGGCCAGGCUGUCUCCACCCGAGACUCAGUGAAAUUGAACUCGCUGUGAAGAUGCAGUGUACCCGCGGCAAGACGGAAAGACCCCGUGAACCUUUACUAUAGCUUGACACUGAACAUUGAGCCUUGAUGUGUAGGAUAGGUGGGAGGCUUUGAAGUGUGGACGCCAGUCUGCAUGGAGCCGACCUUGAAAUACCACCCUUUAAUGUUUGAUGUUCUAACGUUGGCCCCUAAUCGGGGUUGCGGACAGUGUCUGGUGGGUAGUUUGACUGGGGCGGUCUCCUCCUAAAGAGUAACGGAGGAGCACGAAGGUUGGCUAAUCCUGGUCGGACAUCAGGAGGUUAGUGCAAUGGCAUAAGCCAGCUUGACUGCGAGCGUGACGGCGCGAGCAGGUGCGAAAGCAGGUCAUAGUGAUCCGGUGGUUCUGAAUGGAAGGGCCAUCGCUCAACGGAUAAAAGGUACUCCGGGGAUAACAGGCUGAUACCGCCCAAGAGUUCAUAUCGACGGCGGUGUUUGGCACCUCGAUGUCGGCUCAUCACAUCCUGGGGCUGAAGUAGGUCCCAAGGGUAUGGCUGUUCGCCAUUUAAAGUGGUACGCGAGCUGGGUUUAGAACGUCGUGAGACAGUUCGGUCCCUAUCUGCCGUGGGCGCUGGAGAACUGAGGGGGGCUGCUCCUAGUACGAGAGGACCGGAGUGGACGCAUCACUGGUGUUCGGGUUGUCAUGCCAAUGGCACUGCCCGGUAGCUAAAUGCGGAAGAGAUAAGUGCUGAAAGCAUCUAAGCACGAAACUUGCCCCGAGAUGAGUUCUCCCUGACUCCCUGAGAGUCCUGAAGGAACGUUGAAGACGACGACGUUGAUAGGCCGGGUGUGUAAGCGCAGCGAUGCGUUGAGCUAACCGGUACUAAUGAACCGUGAGGCUUAACCUU